rnacentral:rRNA from 1 species
UUUGAUCCUGGCUCAGAUUGAACGCUGGCGGCAGGCCUAACACAUGCAAGUCGAGCGGAAACGAAGAGGAGCUUGCUCCUUUGGCGUCGAGCGGCGGACGGGUGAGUAAUGCUUGGGAAUGUGCCUUAUGGUGGGGGACAACAGUUGGAAACGACUGCUAAUACCGCAUAAUGUCUUCGGACCAAAGUGGGGGACCUUCGGGCCUCACGCCAUAAGAUCAGCCCAAGUGGGAUUAGCUAGUUGGUAAGGUAAUGGCUUACCAAGGCGACGAUCCCUAGCUGGUUUGAGAGGAUGAUCAGCCACACUGGGACUGAGACACGGCCCAGACUCCUACGGGAGGCAGCAGUGGGGAAUAUUGCACAAUGGGCGCAAGCCUGAUGCAGCCAUGCCGCGUGUGUGAAGAAGGCCUUCGGGUUGUAAAGCACUUUCAGUAAGGAGGAAAGGUUAAGUGUUAAUAGC